UUUUAAAGGUACAAUACAGUGAAAUGAGAUUACAUGGUGAAAUCACUGUUUUCUACUUUUUGAAGGAAAUCUUAGUUUUUCCUAAGCAACUGCACAUCUAUACCUAUACAGUCACCACUGCCUAUUUUUCCUCCUGGAAAGAAAAAAAAAAGAUAAGCAAAAAAAUUAAGAGAAAACUCAUUGGUAGCAAACAUUUCUGCAAUGUUAUGUCUACGCUGUAUAAAACAGAAAUAAAUACGUAUCCUCAGUGAAUAGGCAGUUAAUCACCAGAAAUCUAGUAGAGGUUUGGGCGUUGCAUUUCUGUUUUUGAACAUUUUGGAAGUUUGAGAUGACAGUGACAGAUGGAAGCACAGUUCUUGGCAAGUGGUUGGAGCUCUAGGUGGGGUAGGUGACAGGGGCAAGUGAACAUGCUAGAGAGGGAGUGGAGGUGAAUCUCUUCCAGAUUUGUCUUUGCUGAAACAAAAAUCUGUCUUGAGAAGAAUUUCAAAAGAUGCAAUUUGGAUACCAGAGGCAUACAGAAAGCCAGAGCUGCCACUCCACCCCAUGACUUCUCUUGCAAGAUGAAUAUGUGCUCAGUGAGAUCUCUGCUGGUGCAAACCGCUGUACUCCAGGAACAUACACGAGAAGACACACUCCUCUAAUCUCCCUUGAGUCUGCUGAAUUCACACAACUUUUCUGGAAACAAACAUUUUUGAAUUAAAGCUCUGCUUAAGAAAUUACGCUGAUUGAGAUGUUCACAAUGCCCUCCUUGUCAAUAUCCUCCUUUAAGUCUUUACUUGGAACACAGGUGGAAAUAAAAGCAGAUGAAUACAAGUGACAGAAAAAUACUCGGUAGGACUGAAACACAGAGUGAGCAGCUGAAACCAGUGCUCCCACGUACACUGGAAAAGGUGUGUUUCACACACUAUUAGCUGAAACCACCUGUAGCCAUCUUGAGUAUGCAAUCACACCAAGUCUUAGUGUAACAGAGCUCUCAGAAAAGCUGCUGCAGAGAGACUGAAGAAUCAUUGGAAGAGUAAGAAUCUUUCAGAACACGGGCAUCUGGCAAGAAAAGUAUUUACAACAGCAUUAUUUCAACAGAAGAGAAGGAUUGCUCAAGGAAGCAGGAGAGAAGAGUACCCAUUCCCAGAGGUGUUCCAGAACCAUGGAGAUGUGGCUCUGAGGAACACGGUCAGUGGGCAUGGUGGGAGUGGGUUGGGGUUGGACCUGAUGAUUCUAGAGGUCCUUUCCAACCUUAAUGAUUUAUGACUAGAUGUAAGUUGUAUUUAAGCGACACAUGGAUGGAAGAGCAUAUAUUAGUGCAAAACCAAAGAAAGACAUUUCCUCCAGAUAUAAAUCCAGUACUAUGAAGGCUGAAAUGGGGAUGGGGAUACCCUUUCUGCCAUUACAAGUUAUGAAGCAUCUCACGUCAACUUCCUUCUUACAUAAUACAGAGUGAUAAAUCUGCUUGACAUAAAUCACUUAUGAAGGAACACAAGCUUACUAAAUAUAUCUCUAAAUCAAGGGCAGAUUUCUUUCUCAGUAUAAGAUCAAAAGCUCAAGUUAUAUUUAAGCUCUAAUGAGAAGCAGCCUUAUUUAUUGGUGGUGGUUGGGUCAUGGGGCCAGGAAAGCUCCUGUGUUCUAAUCCUGCAGCAUAUCCAUACUUUACAGUUUUGGAGAAGUCUGUUACUCCAUUUCUCCAUCACAUAAGCAGAGAUUUUAUUAUUUAGUUACCUCAUAAUGGCCUUAAGAGAAUGUUUACAAUCAUUCUGUAUUGUUUUUAAUAAACUUCGGUCCUGAUCCUGCAGGAUCUGUAUUCUAAAUCUGAACUAUUUAGAUCUAAUCUAAAAGAAAUCAUAGAAAAAGGUGAAAAUAAAGAAAAAAGUGAUUAUUACAUUACAAUAAUACAAUUUCAAUUCUGAAACAUCAUUAUAAGAAAAUUAAUGAUGACGGGACGAAAGGAUCCUUACUUCUGAUUGGCAUAUUUCUUAGGUUGCUCCAAAAGUAAUAUUUAUUUCCAUGGAAACUGCAACAGAUGCAAUGAGCACAGUAAUAUGGUGUGAUAGAACGAAUUCUCAGCUAUCAUAUACUAUCUUGAAAAAGUAACCACCAUUGGCAACGCAUUUUUGCCAGGGAUGAACAAGAGCCUGCGUGCCACGCUAGUCAAAAUCUGCACCAGUGGAGGUGACCCACUGUCACUGUCACCACUGCUGAAAUGUACCACCCACAGCCUCACUAUGUUCACAUUCACUGGUUGGUCUCCAGAAAUGGAUGUUAAUGGGUACUGUUUUUUCUGCAUGGAGAAAUUCAGUGACACACCUUUGAUUCAUACACGCUUUCAUGUCAAGUGCUAUUUUAUCAGGCUGCCCCUCUGCUGUCAUCUCUCACACAGCAACUACAUGUAAUGGGAUAUUGGUGAGAAGGUCAAACCUCUACUGCCAUACCACCAACAUCUGUCUCUGGCUCCACAGAGCCAUGAGCGUCUCAGCAGCACACAAUGAAUAGGUAUCACUGCUGCAAGGAGGAGGAAGAGGAUACAUCUGGAAACAACUCUCUGCUCUGCAGGCUCUACUGACACCUGGCGUGCAGCUCAUCUGCAGCCUUAUGUCCAGGAUCCCUGUGCUGCACAUGCCCACAGAGUGCCUCUGCACCCCAGAGCAACAGACCUCAUGGUGAAAACACAAACACUGGUCAGCCACAAUUUUCUCUCAUCUCCCUUCUGGUUCAAGCAAGAAGGGAGGCUCUUCAAACUGUGCUAUGAGCAAGGAGAUGUCAGUCUUGGUGUGACUUCCUCAAAGGAUUGGUGUUGUGACGCACAAGAGGAAACAUGCAGCAGCCAAGGCAUCAAGAGGACUGGGAGGCAUGUAUGGUGCAAGCCAACCGUGCAAGUGUUGUGCUCAAGCACAAUGCUUCUAAUAGCAUGUGAGCAGGUGCUAAAUCUGUGUGUUUAUUAAAAACAAACUUGCUUAUGGUAGUGCCUCUCACAUUUUAUUAGUGGGAGUCUAUCCAAGUGCCCCCAAUACUGACAUUCCACUAUUGUCUUAAAAGAUAGAAACCACAUCCUAUGGCAAAGCAUUUGUGAGCCUUUGAGGGCUUUGUAAGUUGAACAAUCUUAGGAAUCUACCCACAGUUAAAUUUUCUGGAUUCUGCACAAGGGACAGAAAUAAGAAAAUAAAAUAAAAAAGCUUCUCUUCCAAGUCUCAGCUUGAAUUUGUAGUAUUUACAUUUUGAACAGUUUGAAAAAUGCAGCACCUUUUCCCCACUGUUCAUUAAUUGUGAUCCUCAACGGCACUUCACAGUCACUUCUGAAAUAGAAAAGAAAGUAAAGCUCAGACUGAAGAGUCCUUGAAUUGCUACAACCUACAUAAACUCAGCUCUUCAGCUCCUAUCUGCAAAGCCUCAGUGACAUAAAAUAGAAGACACCUGACUGAAUAAGGGAUUCUGAUUUUCAGCAUGGUAAGGUCUUCUGAAAUAAAUUAUAUCCAAUUCUUAAGAACAGUGGCAGAGAUAAUGUCUGCAUAUCUAGAUUCAGAAGUCUCAAGAUGAGCUACAAUAUCUGACUUUGUUAAGUAAAUCAGCAAAGAUGACAGUACUCAGAAAAAGUUUGUUAAAGAAAGCAUGUCACUCACAUCUUUGUUUUUGACUCUCUUUACCUGUUUAAGAUUGGAGC
rnacentral:lncRNA from 1 species